UAUGAACGCUGGCGGCGUGCCUAACCCAUGCAAUUCGAGCGAUUCUCCUCGGAGAAGAGCGGCGGACGGGUGAGUAACGCGUGGGUAACCUGCCCUGUACACACGGAGAACAUACCUAAUGGUAUGCUAAUACGAGAUAAUAUGCUUGUAUCGCAUGGUAGAAGUAUCAAAUGACCGGCGGUACAGGAUGGACCCGCGUCUGAUUAGCUAGUUGGUAAGGUAACAGCUUACCAAGGCGACGAUCAGUAGCCGACCUGAGAGGGUGAUCGGCCAAAUUGGAACUGAGACACGGUCCAAACUCCUACGGGAGGCAGCAGUGGGGAAUAUUGCACCAUGGGGGAAAGCCUGAUGCAUCAACGCCGCGUGAGCGAUGAAGGCCUGCGGGUCGUAAAGCUCUGUCCUCAAGGAAGAUAAUGACGGUACUUGAGGAGGAAGCCCCGGCUAACUACGUGCCAGCAGCCGCGGUAAUAC
rnacentral:rRNA from 1 species